rfam:Enterococcus asini ATCC 700915 genomic scaffold acvKe-supercont1.4, whole genome shotgun sequence.
UUCAGAGUAGAAAACGAAGCGUUAAGUGCUUAGAGGAUGGGAUGUUGCCUCUUUGACGAAGGAGUAGCGUGGCGCGCUAGUUUCGCGGUUUUGUUUUCGCAUUCGCUGCA